GCGGAGGGGGGCCGCGGCUCAUGCGCCGUGCACCGAGGCUUGUUUCACAUCUGUAACAACAGAGUUAGUAAAUGAAUUUCUAUGAUUGGAGCACCUUUGUUUCCCUGUGGGGGCCGUCACUCUAGUGACCCAGCAUCAUACUUCCCAGGAGGAGGCCCAGCCUCGGGAUGAGGAGUAGCAAGGAGAGAAUUCAGCUCCAUUUCAAAAGCCUACAAAAUCUGAGCCCAUUAUUGCUUUUAUAAGGGUCUCACGAAGUUGCCCAGGCUGGCCUCGAACUUAAGAUC